GGAGGGAUGGCAGAGUGGUUGAUUGCACUGGUCUUGAAAACCAGCGUGGCGGUAACCCCGUCACCCCGGGUUCGAAUCCCGGUCCCUCCG
rnacentral:tRNA from 1 species